rnacentral:rRNA from 1 species
CCUACGGGAGGCAGCAGUGAGGAAUAUUGGUCAAUGGGGGCAAGCCUGAACCAGCCAAGCCGCGUGAGUGAUGACGGUCCUAGGGAUGUUAAACCUCUUCAGUCGGGGAGCAAGGCCCGCCACGUGUGGCGGGAAGCAGAGUACCCGAAGAAAAAGCAUCGGCUAACUCCGUGCCAGCAGCAGCGGUAAUACGGAGGAUGCGAGCGUUAUCCGGGUUUGUUGGGUUUAAAGGGUGCGUAGGCGGAAGGUUAAGUCAGCGGUCAAAUGUCGGUGCUCAACACCGGGCUGCCGUUGAAACUGGUCUUCUGGAGUGAGGGAGAGGUAAGUGGAAUGCGUGGUGUAGCGGUGAAAUGCGUAGAUAUGACGCAGAACUCCGAUUGCGAAGGCAGCAUACCGGCGCUCAACUGACGCUGAGGCACGAAAGCGUGGGGAUCGAACAGGAUUAGAUACCCCAGUAGUC